GUGAGUCUUGCGGCUGUUGGUGAGCUUGAACCCCGGCUGAACUCGGGCCUCUCGGCAGACUCCAAGUAGCAAGGCUUGCCCUCGGCCUACCCUCGUCCGGCGAGCAGGCCGAGGAGCUGUCUGGCUCGCCGCUUCUUUCCCUCAGAUUUUCCUUUCAUUCGCCGGAGUCUUCGCCCGCCUCUCUUUCUCCCAAGGCACGUCUCUGUGCACACUUGCAGGCCGCAGCUGUCUCCGCUCCCCAGUCACCGAGACCACCGUGGUCUCGAGCGAACAACACCACGAGUUAGGAGGACUGGGUUUCUUCUGGGCCAAGCUGGAGCGUCAGGGUCAAGUCAGACCUCUCUUCAUUCCGUCUUUCGAGUCCUGGGGUCGCUUCGUUGUUUCCCCGUGAGGGCUCUGGAACCAUGUCUACAGAAAUCUUCCCAGCCGCAAGGGAAGAGGAAAGCUGUGUCUCAGGACCCAGUUUUAGGUCCAAUCAGAGGAAGAUGUUACAGCUACUCUUGGAGAGAGACUCUUCCUUUACCAACUGUCCAGCUCGCCUUCGAUCCCCGAGGGACAAACUCCUUGACUCUGCAAACCUCAGCAUUUUAUCUGGAGGAACCCCAAAACGUUGCCUUGAUCUUUCAAAUCUUAGCAGUGGGGAGAUGUCUGCCACUCAGUUUACUACUUCUGCAGACCUUGAUGAAACUGGU